GUCCCGUUUGGUAGAGCAUGGCGCUUGCAACGCCAGGGUUGUGGGUUCGAUUCCCACAGGGGACC
rnacentral:tRNA from 1 species